rnacentral:rRNA from 1 species
GUCGAGAAUCUUUCACAAUGGGGGCAACCCUGAUGGAGCGACGCCGCGUGGAGGAUAAGGUCUUCGGAUUGUAAACUCCUGUCAUGCGUGAACAAGGUUGCUUGGUUAAUACCUGGGCAAAUUGAUGGUAACGCAAGAGGAAGAGACGGCUAACUCUGUGCCAGCAGCCGCGGUAAUACAGAGGUCUCAAGCGUUGUUCGGAAUCACUGGGCGUAAAGGGUGUGUAGGUGGCGUGGUAAGUCAGAUGUGAAAGCCCGGGGCUCAACCUCGGAACAGCAUCCGAUACUGCCAUGCUAGAGUACUGGAGAGGUGACUAGAAUUCUCGGUGUAGCAGUGAAAUGCGUAGAUAUCUAGAGGAAUACCAAAGGCGUAGGCAGGUCACUGGACAGUUACUGACACUGAGGCACGAAGGCCAGGGGAGCGAACGGGAUUAGAAACCCCUGUAGUCC